rnacentral:rRNA from 1 species
UGGGGAAUUUUGCACAAUGGGGGAAACCCUGAUGCAGCGACGCCGCGUGUACGAUGAAGAUCUUCGGAUUGUAAAGUACUGUCCUUGGUGAAGAUAAUGACUGUAACCAAGAAGCAAGCCCUGGCUAAAUACGUGCCAGCAGCUGCGGUAAUACGUAUGGGGCAAGCGUUGUCCGGAAUUAUUGGGCGUAAAGGGUACGUAGGCGGUUAUUUAAGUCUAAAUUAAAAGGCAUUGGCUCAACCAAUGUAAGGUUUAGAUACUGGAUAACUUGAGUCGAUGAGGGGAAAGUGGAAUUCCAUGUGUAGCGGUGAAAUGCGUAGAUAUAUGGAGGAACACCAAUGGCGAAGGCAACUUUCUGGAAUCAAACUGACGCUGAGGUACGAAGGCGUGGGGAGCAAACAGG